rnacentral:rRNA from 2 species
GGACUACACGGGUUUCUAAUCCUGUUUGAUCCCCACGCUUUCGUGCCUCAGCGUCAAUAUUCGUGUAGUGAGCUGCCUUCGCAAUCGGUGUUCUAUGUCAUAUCUAAGCAUUUCACCGCUACAUGACAUAUUCCGCUCACCUCCAUGACAUUCAAGAUACAUAGUAUCAAUGGCAGUUCUCGAGUUAAGCUCGAGGAUUUCACCACUGACUUACAUACCCGCCUACGCACCCUUUAAACCCAGUGAAUCCGGAUAACGCUUGCACCCUCCGUAUUACCGCGGCUGCUGGCAC